GAUACUAAGAGUUUGAUCGUGGCUCAGGGUGAACGCUGGCGACGUGCCUAAGACAUGCAAGUCGAACGAGAUUCGUAUUUUACAUAAGGAAAUUACAUAAUAAUUUUCUUGUGUAGAAUACGAUGACAGUGGCGAACGGGUGAGUAAUAAGUACGAACGUACCUCUAAGUGGAGCAUAGCCUCGAGAAAUCGUGGAUAAUACUCCAUAGUCCUCGUAUUUCAUACAAGGAAAUUCAAAGCACUAAUAUCUAAACUCAAAACUUUUUUGUUUUGGAUUUUGAAUAUUUAGAUUUUAAAUUUAUUUAGGAUUUCGAUAUUAGAAUUUAGGAUUUUCUCGCAUGGAAUGCGAGGUAAAGAUUUAUCGCUUAGAGAGCGGCGUACUCGCUACCAGCUUGUUGGUGAGGUAAUGGCUCACCAAGGCGAUGACGGCUACCGGCUCUUAGCGGAGGGUCCGGCACAAUGGGACUGAGACACGGCCCAUACACCUACGGGUGGCAGCAGUUAGGAAUAUUGCGCAAUGGACGAAAGUCUGACGCAGCGACGUCGCGUGUGGGAUGACGGCCUUCGGGUUGUAAACCACUUUUAUUUCGUCAUCAUGGCGAGAUGAAUAAACAGCUACUAAUUACGUGCCAGCAGUCGCGGUAAUACGUAAGCUGUAAGCGUUACCCGGUUUUAUUGGGCGUAAAGGGUCUGUAGGUGGUUUUUUAAGUCCUAUUUCAAAGACUCCGACUUAAUCGGAGAAAGGGGUAGGAUACUGAAAGACUAGAGUUAUAUCGGGGUUACUGGAAUUUAUAGCGUAGGGGUAAAAUCCGUGGAUACUAUAAAGAACACCAAGGGCGAAGGCGGGUAACUAGGUAUACACUGACACUGAAAGACGAAAGCUAGGGGAGCAAAUCAGAUUAGAGACCUGAGUAGUCCUAGCUGUAAACGAUGUCUGUUAGUUCUACGAGCUUAUGCUUGUGGGAUGUAAGCUAACGCGUUAAACAGACCGCCUGGGGAGUAUAGCCGCAAGGCCGAAACUCAAACGAAUUGGCGGGGAGGCGCACAACCAGUGGAGCAUGUGGUUUAAUUCGAUACGAAGCGAUGAACCUUACCUGGGCUUGAAAUCCUGUUUAUGUUUUUCCCGAAAAGGAAAAACUCAGUGGCAGGACAGCUGUUGCAUGGCUGUCGUCAGCUCGUGACGUGAGUUGUUCUCUUAAGUGAGGUAACGAGCGCAACCCCUAUUCUGUGUUAUUUUUUCACAGAAGACUGCUCAGCAUUAUUUUUGUUGGGAGGAAGGAGGGGACGACGUCAAGUCAGCAUGAUGCUUAUGUCCAGGGCGACACACAUCCUACAAUGGGAAGUACAAUGAGUUGCAAUACCGCGAGGUGGAGCUAAUCUAUAAAACUUCCCUCAGUUGGGAUUGCAGGCUGAAAUUCGCCUGCAUGAACUUGGAAUUGGUAGUAAUCGCAGAUCAGCAGACUGCGGUGAAUACGUUCUCGCCUCUUGCACACACAGCCCGUCAAAUCAGCAAAGUUGAGGGUGCCCGAAGGACUCCGAUCAAUCGGAGGACUAAGGUAAAUUCAGCGAUGAGGGUUAAGUCGUAAAUUGUUGCGACUCAUGGAAGUAAUUCCAUGAACAAAUCUGGC
rnacentral:rRNA from 1 species